UACGUAGGGCGCAAGCGUUGUCCGGAAUUAUUGGGCGUAAAGAGCUCGUAGGCGGCUUGUCACGUCGGGUGUGAAAGCCCGGGGCUUAACCCCGGGUCUGCAUUCGAUACGGGCUGGCUAGAGUGUGGUAGGGGAGAUCGGAAUUCCUGGUGUAGCGGUGAAAUGCGCAGAUAUCAGGAGGAACACCGGUGGCGAAGGCGGAUCUCUGGGCCAUUACUGACGCUGAGGAGCGAAAGCGUGGGGAGCGAACAGG
rnacentral:rRNA from 2 species